rnacentral:rRNA from 1 species
AUUUAAGGGAAGGAGCAGGCGCGCAAUUACCCAAUCCUGACUCAGGGAGGUAGUGACAAGAAAUAACAAUAAACCGGCUUAUGCCGGUUUAAUUGGAAUGAGUACAAUUUAAACAUCUUAACGAGGAACAAUUGGAGGGCAAGUCUGGUGCCAGCAGCCGCGGUAAUUCCAGCUCCAAUAGCGUAUACUAAAGUUGUUGCAGUUAAAAAGCUCGUAGUUGGAUUUCUGUGGGGACGGAGCGGCCGGCCGCACAUCGCGGUUCGAGCUAGCGCUUUCCCUACAUCCUGCCGCGAACCGUGCUACCAUUAGUUUGGUGGCGCCGGGGAUCGGCUCGAUUACUUUGAGAAAAAUAGAGUGUUCAAAGCAGGCCACAUGCCUUGAAUAAGUUAGCAUGGAAUAAUAACUAAGGACUUCGGUUCUAUUUUGUUGGUGUUCGGGACUGAAGUAAUGAUUGAUAGGGACAGUUGGGGCGGUCUGUAUUCCAAAGCGAGAGGUGAAAUUCUUAGACCUUCGGAAGACAAACAGCUGCGAAAGCGUUCCGCAAGGAUGUUCCCUUUGAUCAAGAACGAAAGUUGGGGGAUCGAAGACGAUCAGAUACCGUCGUAGUCUCAACUAUAAACUAUACCAGCUAGGGAUCGGCCAACGUUAUUUUAUACCGACUUGGUCGGCACCUUAUGAGAAAUCAAAGCAUCUGGGUUCCGGGGGGAGUAUGGUCGCAAGGCUGAAACUUAAAGGAAUUGACGGAAGGGCACCACCAGCCGUGGAGCCUGUGGCUUAAUUUGACUCAACACGGGAAAACUUACCAGGUCCAGACAUAGUAAGGAUUGACAGAUUGAUAGCUCUUUCUUGAUUCUGUGGGUGGUGGUGCAUGGCCGUUCUUAGUUGGUGGAGUGAUUUGUCUGGUUAAUUCCGUUAACGAACGAGACCCCAGCCUGCUAAAUAGCGCGCGUGAGCUUUGCUCGCGGCGAGCUUCUUAGAGGGACUAUGAUGCGCGAUAGCACAUGGAAGUUUGGGGCAAUAACAGGUCUGUGAUGCCCUUAGAUGUUCUGGGCCGCACACGGGCUACACUGGCGCCUGCAACGAGCAUAUCAGCUGGCCCGAGAGGGUCUUGGCUAAUCUUUUGAACCGGCGCCGUGCUUGGGAUUGACCUUUGCAAUUGUUGGUCAUGCAACGAGGAAUGCCUUGUAAACGCGAGUCAUCAGCUCGCAUUGAAUACGUCCCUGCCCUUUGUACACACCGCCCGUCGCUCCUACCGAUGAAUGUUCCGAUGAAAUUUUCGGAGAGUGCCUGUGAACUUGGCUCUGCCUUGCGAACGGGAAGCUCAAAGUCACUUAAAUCUAAACAUAA